UACAUGGGGUGCAAACGUUGCUCGGAAUUAUUGGGCGUAAAGAGCUCGUAGGCGGCUUGUCACGUCGGGUGUGAAAGCCCGGGGCUUAACCCCGGGUCUGCAUUCGAUACGGGCUAGCUAGAGUGUGGUAGGGGAGAUCGGAAUUCCUGGUGUAGCGGUGAAAUGCGCAGAUAUCAGGAGGAACACCGGUGGCGAAGGCGGAUCUCUGGGCCAUUACUGACGCUGAGGAGCGAAAGCGUGGGGAGCGAACAGG
rnacentral:rRNA from 1 species